rnacentral:tRNA from 1 species
GUCUUCGUGGUGUAGUGGUUCUGCACGCUGGACCUGUAUUCCAGAGAUCCGUGGUUCGAUUCCCGGCGAAGGCG